rnacentral:miRNA from 1 species
AUUAGAGCUGGGUGGAUGAAGUGG